rnacentral:lncRNA from 1 species
GACGCGUUUAUUGCCAAUUCAUCAGCGGUUUGCAAAAUUAUUACGAUUGACAUACUUUGGUAGGAUUGCUACGGAUGAUUCCGACAACAAUGUAGGCAUGUUAUACACCAUUGUAAAGAUAAAUCAAUUUAGAUUUACGAUAUAACAAGUUUUAGCGGGGUUGACAGCCUAUAAAGCGGCAUAUAACGGAACUUCGUCACCAC